UCCCAGGUGGCUCAGUGGUAAAGAAUCCGCUUGCAAGGCAGGAGACCCAGGUUCAAUCCCUGGGUUGGAAA
rnacentral:tRNA from 1 species